CCCAUCGCCCGAAUUGAUUNCGGAGCACAUGGGAANUUACAAUGGGCGAARCCUGAUCCAGCAAUGCCGCGUGUGUGAAGAAGGCCUGCGGGUUGUAAAGCACUUUCAGUAGAGAAGAAAAGCUUACGGUUAAUAACCGUGAGUCUUGACGUAACCUACAGAAGAAGCACCGGCCAACUCCGUGCCAGCAGCCGCGGUAAGACGGAGGGUGCAAGCGUUGCUCGGAAUCACUGGGCGUAAAGGGUGCGUAGGCGGCCUCUUAAGUCUAACGUGAAAGCCCAGGGCUUAGCCCUGGAAGUGCGUUGGAAACUGGGAGGCUCGAGUAUCGGAGGGGAGAGUGGAAUUCCCGGUGUAGCCGGUGAAAUGCGUAGAUAUCGGGAAGAAUACCGGUGGCGAAAGCGACUCUCUGGACGAUUACUGACGCUGAGGCACGAAAGCGUGGGGAGCAAACAGGAUUAGAUACCCUGGUAGUCCACGCGGUAAACGAUGAGUACUAGGUGUCGGGGGUAUCCACUCCCUCGGUGCCGCCGCUAACGCAUUAG
rnacentral:rRNA from 1 species